rnacentral:lncRNA from 1 species
UUUUGUCCCAAAUGGGUUUUCCAGGGAAGGUUUUUAACGAGGCCACAACUUGCUUCACACUUAUCCUAAGUGCCAAGUUCGAUCCAAGGCUAAGAAGCCUCAUGACCUUAUUUCAUGUUUUACAUUAUAGUUUGUUUCCUUAUUUGUACUUUCGUGACUUAAGUGGAGCCUGUUCCCUUAGUCCUAUUUAUAUGUUUUCGCAAGCCCACUUUUGGGGCAGACUUUGAAUAAUCAUAAACUUUUCUUCUAAAGAAAACCCUAGAGCUCUCAAGCUAGAACUCGCCUCCUUCUCUUUGCCUUGUGAGACCAGCACCUCCACGGCCUAGAGGAACCUUGUGUUGUAUCACGAGCCUCCCAUCUCUCGUGUGGUGCACUUCAUCCCAUCAUACAGUUCCAGUUCAGAUCCCUUGGUUGAUUAGAUCAGUCCAUCCGGAUCACCCUUGUGUUAGAUCGGCUCCUUCUCUCUCUUGCUUGGGAACGUACAGCCUUUGAUAGCUUAGGCUUGUAUCAUUUCUGGUAUCAGAGCUGAAGUUCCUUCAGCAUCAGGUUAUAUCUAUCCUUGUCUCUUUUAUUUGCAUCCGAUUUGUGAUCCAUUGUUUCUGCUUUCAUGAAAUCAUAAACCAAAUAAAGAGAUCGCGUUUCAUUGUUGCACUUAGUUGUUUUCUUCACAUCUUGCUUGCAUCCGAUUGUUACAUCCUGUCCUGCUUAGUUUUAAUCUUCAUAAAGUCAAAAAAAAAAAAAAAACGUGUUGCUAGGAUUGCAUAUUUUGGUUUCCAAUUGUUUGAUCGACAGGUUUAUUCGGUUUCCAUAUUUGCAAAGAGUUUUCAAAUUAUUUCCUUCCCGGUCGAUC